AAGUUUAAGUUAACCAUUAAACCCAGAGCCUUCAAAGCCCUAAAUAGGGGCAAUCCCUAACUUCUG
rnacentral:tRNA from 1 species